UGGAUCCUUACUCCAUAUAGGCUAUUUUGCCUUACACAAAUAUAUAUAUAUAUAUAUAUAUAUAUAUAUAUUAUAUAUAUAUAUAUAUAUUUGUGUAAGGCAAAAUAGCCGUAUAUGGAGUAAGGAUCAA